UACGUAGGGGGCGAGCGUUGUCCGGAUUUAUUGGGCGUAAAGCGCGCGCAGGUGGUGCGGUAAGUCCUGUGUGAAAUCUCCCGGCUCAACUGGGAGGGUGCGGAGGAGACUGCCGGACUGGAGGCACUCAGAGGCCGGUGGAAUUCCCGGUGUAGUGGUGAAAUGCGUAGAGAUCGGGAGGAACACCAGUGGCGAAGGCGGCCGGCUGGGGGUGACCUGACGCUGAGGCGCGAGAGCGUGGGGAGCGAACCGG
rnacentral:rRNA from 1 species